rnacentral:lncRNA from 1 species
AUUUAGUAGAUAAAGCUGGAUGGUGUUUUGUAUUCUAAUAAACAGAUGUAUUUUUUUUUAUUAGAAUAGACAUGAAGGACUGCUAUAUUUGCCAACUUGCCACAUUAAGAUAGAAGUUAUUCUCACAAAAAGGGCUCUAAAGGAUACUUUCUUUAUUAGGUCAAGAGACCAAUGCAGGAAUAAAUACUGGCUAGUAUUUAUUUCUUGACUUAUGUAGGAAAACUUCUUGUCUCAAAAACAAAGAGAGAGAAAUAUAUUAUAGGAAUCCCUAUUGCAUUACUGAUGGCAGGAGUUAUGGCUAAGAUAUUAUUGUGGUAUAAAAAAAUGAAAUAACAUUAUCCAUAUUUAUGCCAACAAUAAAAAUGUACAUCCAAUAUAUUGAUGAUUUGUUCAUCAUAGGGAAAGAAAGUGAUGAAACAGAAGAGAUAGUACAAGAAUUAUCUGAUACAAUACUAAAGCUAACUCUCAACAUAGAUCAAAAAUCAAGAAUAGGAGUAUUUCCUCCUAUCAAUAAAGAUAUCAUGUACUAUGCAUGUGUAAGGAGUUCAUAAUAUAUGUAUACUGGUAUCUUGGAUCUUAUCAUUUGACAGUCCCACUUCUAACACCAGUGUGAGCCCAAGUGGAUGGUUAAUAUAAAAAUGUACAUCAUAGAAAUAACUCGUAGCACAG